CUUUUAUCGUACAUCGGACUUGUUCUGCGUGUUAUUUACACGUAGCUACAAUGAUGCAUGUGUGUCCCACGCUUUGCUCAAUUCUGGUCUGGUUAGUAAGGUACAGUAAAUAUAGGAAAUACAUAUUCGUUAAAAUAUAGGAACUCUAUUGUACCAAUGCGUUCUGUAUGUAUUGGGCUUGUUUAGGGUAUUGCUUAAUGUUGGAUGUAUUGGGCAGCGAUCCGUAAAUCGUUUAGCCUUCUGUAGUGUUUAUGUAUAAGCUAGUUUGUUCAGCCGUGAUCGUUUUCCCGUUCUAGGUACGUUGUGCAGGUUGGCUGUAGUGUGUACUGGGUUUGGGUUGGCUUCAAACAAUUGGAAGGCAUGAUAUGGGUCACUGGCAAAAGGGCCACUAAUGGGUGUUUUUGGGAUUACAUGUCGGCCAGAUUGGCCAUGUGGUCACUGCUCGAUUCCUCGGAAUUGCCUAUUUUAGUGGGAUAUCGGUUUUCUGUGGUAUCGCUUGUCUGUCUUCAGUUUGCCCAUCUGCCUUUGGUUUCCCCCUUUUUCACUCUCAUGUCUUCUAUGUUCCCUGUAUGGUCUAUCGUUCGCUGUUGAGGUGGGAAUGGGAGCUGCCAGAGGUGGCAGUUGUUGCAACAUGUGUUGGUGGCUGUAGGUAGGGGUGAAUCUGUUUAUACCAGCCAUACAUCACAUGUUGAGGGGGUUCGUAUUCAAUCCUAUACUCUGUGUCCUCUAAUGCUGUAUAAUUACCAUUAUUGUAUGGGAUGGGGUAGGGAGGGUGAGGUAUGGGUAAGAGGAUGAGCAGAGAGGGAGCGG